rnacentral:rRNA from 1 species
CAUCGUGGUGUGAGAAGUACUCAAGGACAUCGCGCGUUACCUUUUAGUAUCUCCGUGACGUCCGAUGACAUCGAGGGGAUCGCAUGGAAGCCGUGCCAUCUGCUCGGCCAAGGGACAGAGUGGGGGGAGGAGAGGGGAGUUGGUUCCUGCUUCCUCUAGGUCAGGAGAGGGGCGCGCCGUUGGGAAGGAGGGUGGGUGGCGGCUGGAGCGGCACGAGGAGUGGGUUGCGGGUGGAGCAGGGAGGGAGGGGAUUGGUAGAGAGGGAUGGGAGGCGGAGCUAGGGGGUCUAGGUUAGCUGUGUUGGGUCGGCGGGGGCGUGGGUCAUGACAGGUGGUACCGGCGGAGGAGGAGCGAGGCCUAGGGGCGUGGUUGGGUGGUGGGGCGGCACCCCCACGCAGGCGCCGCCGACGGGAAGGUGCGGCAGAGGCAGGCGGGGGCGGCGAGGCGUCAGAGGAGGGAGAGGCGGAGGACGGCCAGAGGCAGAUGAAACUUACUUAACUAACUAGCACGCACACCACACCACACCGUCAAUGUACUGCUCGGGCCUCGACCUGCUGCCGCGCCAGCUCUUCCUCGGCCGCCGUCGUAGCGCGCUACCGCGCUACUGCUCAGGAGAAAAGGAACCAGGAGAGACGAGGGAGGGAGCAAGGUAGACUAAGCUAAGCGACUUAACCAACGGACGGUGAUUGUCCACGCAGCUCGCCCUAGCCGCGCCUCUACCGCGCGCCGCGGGUGCAGCAGUACCGGCAGGCGUUGGAGCGGCGGCGUCUCCGGCAAGCGGUCCGGCAGGAGCGGCUCUGGGGGCCGCGCUCGCACCUCCACUACCUCGACCUGGAGAGGAGCAACCGUAGACAGGCGUUCAAGCGGCGGCUGAAACGGCGGUCACCGGAGGGCGAGUUGUAGGAGUAUACGACCGGAAAGUACAAAGAAGUGCUCGAAGUUCUGUUUCUUCAACCUUCUUCGAUCAACCUCGAUCAAGACCCUCAUUACUUUGGGAAAUCCGACUAGGAUAAACAUACACACUACAUCGUCUUGAACAUCCCGAGUACACUAUCUCGACAAUAUAUUAAACAUACACCAUCUGACAUGUGAACAUCUCGACAAUAGAUUAACAUUUGAACUACGACUAGUGUAAACAUACAUACAAUAGACUAUAUCAUCUAACGAAGAACGA